GCCAUUUCCGCAUGAACGACACUUUGCUCAAUCUGGUCCGUGUGCUACACACCCAAUCUCGCUCGCACACCAGGCACCGCACAACCCUAGCUCCCACUUUCCCCUCGAUCCACUGCCCCUCCCUCCUCCCCGCUUGUCACCAGGGCCUCGGCAUCGCCUACUCCUCCUCCACCACCAUUGCUUAUUCCCCACCUCAACUUCCCUCUCUACGUUGUUUAUCCGGUCAUCGGCGGUGCCUGGAUCCAGAUUUGGCGCAAGUAAGGCCUGGUGGUGGGGCGAAGGGGCACUGGAGGUAGGCGGACAUGACAAGCAGCUGUCGGCCCGUCGCGGGUGAGGCUCCAAGAGGGAAGAGGCGGGGACGGGAGGCUCAAUGGAAGAGGGAAGAUGGAUGAGGCGGGGACAGGUGAAGCAGCAGGCUGGUCCUCGUGGAGGCGGCGCUGCCGGCCAGGGGCCAUUCGCGGUUUUUAUCUGCUGCCUUCUUACUCCGGGGCAUGCCAAGGAAGAACUCACGCACACCAGCCAAGGAGGAGCCAUGAUGUGUGUGAGGUAGAGGUGGAUCAUUGGAGGUGAAGCAGGUCUCCUGGAUGCGUGCUUCAUCUGAGUUUCACGGGGUACUUAAGCAAUGGUUGCCCCCGCCACAUCACAUACCAUGUGAGAUCAACGAGGACAAUGAUAGUUGAGUUCUGACGAGAGUUAAACAAAUAGUUCACUAACAUUGAUAAUGAUUGGGUAAUUCCAUUCUAUGCUCAGAUUAUAAGAAAGAGGAAUUUUGUAAGUCAGACAUCGAUUGCUCACCUUUGAAGGUUACAAAUUCAAGUGCUAGGCUUUAAGGAUGAAGCAAAUCCCAAUCUAGAAACAUGUGUCGUGCACCAUAUAUUUGUCACCAGAAACGAAUGUGCAGGCGACAGCCAUUUGAUUAGUGUUAUAUCCAACUAAGGUAUCCUUCCACCAAAUGACCACAUCUGAAUUUGUUUAACUACAAUCCGAUGCAACAGAGUUAUGUAUUGUUCUCAUAGUCCAUCCGUUAUAUUUUUGGCUUUCAAGGCUAGCUGACUUCAGUUUGAUUAUAAAUUCAUCUACAGCAGCACAGACAGGUAAAAAUGUUUUUUUCUUGUUUUAUAGUUUUAUGUCAAAGUUUUCUUUUACCUUAACUUUUCAAUUGUACUCUGCUUUGUAGGUUCUGAUCAUACCGAUUUAGUGAUUUACUACAGUUUGAUUGCCGAUUCAUAUUUUAUUCUUUUAUAUUAUGCAGCUUUCUCUGUGUACUGUUGGGAUAAAUUCCAUGAACUAUGUAUCUUGUUUAAAUGGCUAGGAUUUGAGAUUGUUUGAAUCCAUCAUGACACAAUAUUCUGACCAUCAACUAGGGUGCUCAAUGCACAAUAGAUAGCUUUUGGUUGUCACCAUUAGGACACUUUGAGGUUUUUAAUAGCUGAAAUAUGCCAACUGCAGAUCAACAUGGUAGUUACAAUGGUUCCAUGUCCUAAUUAGUUAUUUUAUUUUGUUUUGCAGGCGUAUUAUCUUGGAGGUUCUUUCUUAUUUUUACUAUAGAUCAAGUUUCUUUGUUUCCUUUCUAGCUACCUCUGCUGCAUUUGUUUUAUAUAUCCUAUAUGCUUUAAAUAUCCUAUAUGCUAUCAUGAUCCUUGCUUCAGUGAUCAUGUUGAUUCUCCAGAUUUGGUCGGGUGUUGUGUUUUUUUCGUCCUUGUGCGCUUUGAUUGAUGUGCUCUGGCUCUGUGACUGUGAUGAUGCACAGGCAAUGGCAGCAUGGGUGGCAUGAGAGGAAGGAUGGGAAUCAGCUACUUGCAUUCGCACGGAGGAGGCAACAUCGAUGCGAUGGCACGACAGAGGAGGUUGGGCUCGUUGUGGAGCUUCUUGAGGCAGCAGGACGUCGGCGAGAGCAUCGCUGCCGGCAACGGCUCGAGAGACCUCUUGAGGAUCUUCUCCAUGAGCACCUGGGACGACACCAACUCCAACAUCAUGUUCUCAGCGCCCGACAGCAAGAAGGCCGAGGUGCUCGGCGACAGCAAUGUCUGCAUGGUCACCAGCUUCAGCAACAUCGACGCCCAGAUUUAGUUAGCCCUCUCGAGUUGGACAUGCCCAGCAUGGACGACUACCUGCAGCUGUAGUAGGACUCCGCCGACUGCAGAGUCCACGCCAAGCGUGGCUGCACAACUGACCCAUAGAACAUCGCUUGGGAGGGAAAGAAGAACAAGGAUCAAUAAGAGGCUAAGGAGGCUGCAAGACCUCAUUCCCUACAUGGACAAGGUCACAAGGAUAUUCUGUGUCCCAAGCCCUAUAGAAUAAUGUCCAGUCUAAUUUCAGCAGUGGGCAUGACAGCCUCAUACUUCUCUCUUCAAUAUUGAAGAAGCGGCUUACUCGGAUCAAUGGGCAUGCACUUAGAAAAAUAGCUAAAGUGUACGAGAUAUUCCUAGAGUAAAUAAAGGGCAUGGUGUGCUCAUAAGUUAGACAGAAGCAAAAUGUUAUUUAUUAUGCUCCUGUUGUAUCCUCAGACAUUUUCUUCCACCUACCAAUACCUCAGUAUUGAAUAUCUACUUUCCCAUCGUCGUAAACUGAUGUUAGUAUUUGUGCA